rnacentral:rRNA from 1 species
UACGUAGGUGGCGAGCGUUGUCUGGAUUUACUGGGCGUAAAGGGAGCGUAGGCGGACUUUUAAGUGAGAUGUGAAAUACCCGGGCUUAACUUGGGUGCUGCAUUUCAAACUGGAAGUCUAGAGUGCAGGAGAGGAGAAUGGAAUUCCUAGUGUAGCGGUGAAAUGCGUAGAGAUUAGGAAGAACACCAGUGGCGAAGGCGAUUCUCUGGACUGUAAUUGACGCUGAGGCUCGAAAGCGUGGGGAGCAAACAGGAUUAGAUACCCGGGUA